ACAUGCAGUCGAGGGGUAACAGGGAAGCUUGCUUCCGCUGACGACCGGCGCACGGGUGCGUAACGCGUAUGCAACCUACCUCUUACAGGGGAAUAGCCCGAAGAAAUUCGGAUUAAUACCCCAUGGUAUUACAGAUUCGCAUGAUGAAGUAAUUAAAGAUUUAUCGGUAAGAGAUGGGCAUGCGUCUGAUUAGAUUGUUGGUGAGGUAACGGCUCACCAAGUCGACGAUCAGUAGGGGUUCUGAGAGGAAGAUCCCCCACACUGGCACUGAGAUACGGGCCAGACUCCUACGGGAGGCAGCAGUAGGGAAUAUUGGUCAAUGGAGGCAACUCUGAACCAGCCAUGCCGCGUGUAGGAAGAAUGCCUUCUGGGUUGUAAACUACUUUUAUAUAGGAAGAAAACGCCAUGCGUGGUAAUAUGACGGUACUAUAUGAAUAAGCACCGGCUAACUCCGUGCCAGCAGCCGCGGUAAUACGGAGGGUGCAAGCGUUGUCCGGAUUUAUUGGGUUUAAAGGGUGCGUAGGCGGUUUAUUAAGUCGGAGUUGAAAUCCCACAGCUUAACUGUGGAACUGGCUCCGAUACUGGUUAACUUGAGUAUGGUUGAGGUAGGCGGAAUUUAAGAUGUAGCGGUGAAAUGCAUAGAUAUCUUAAAGAACACCAAUUGCGUAGGCAGCUUACUGGACCAUAACUGACGCUGA
rnacentral:rRNA from 1 species